AUCGCUUCUCGGCCUUUUGGCUAAGAUCAAGUGUAGAAUUCUUUGCCUUUAUUACAUCCCUGAGUAAAUUUACUCUAGAUCUUUCUAUUUCAGGUGGAAACUUUCAUAUGUCACACAGGUCGACUGGGAAGGAUCUUGUUUACACUUCUUCCAGGUUAACUAUUCCAUGUUAA
rnacentral:snRNA from 1 species